CCCUUAGAUGUUCUGGGCUGCACGCGCGCUACACCGAUGCGCUCAACGAGUUUACGACCUUGCCCGGAAGGGUUGGGUAAUCUUUUUAAAACGCAUCGUGAUGGGGAUAGAUUAUUGCAAUUAUUAAUCUUUAACGAGGAAUUCCUAGUAAGCGCGAGUCAUCAGCUCGUGCUGAUUACGUCCCUGCCCUUUGUACACACCGCCCGUCGCUCCUACCGAUUGAAUGAUCCGGUGAAUAAUUCGGACUGCAGCAGUGUUCAGUUCCUGAACGUUGCAGCGGAAAGUUUAGUGAACCUUAUCACUUAGAGGAAGGAGAAGUCGUAACA
rnacentral:rRNA from 1 species